AAAGGUCAUCUCUUGAAUGGUUAUAAAUUAAAAUGUAGGUAAAAAAUUACGAUAUCUUGAAGUUGGUUUUCAAAAUUUUUCGUUUUGUAUUCUUCAUUUUUAGAAAUUCACAAUGGGGUGUAUUUUCGGUACACUGGGAUCGGCAUUUUCAGUUAUUUUAGAUGCUCUAGAAAGGAUAUCUACAUGGACAGUAUGUGCAAUAUUAACUUGUUGUUUAGCGGUUACUCUUAUAACUGUAUUGUUGAUUGGAAUCGGUAUCGGCUACCACUAUUGUUACAUUCAUUACGUGGGGUCUGGAUCGAGAUGGAAUAAGACGAGCCAAACACAUUAUUUCUAUCACGCGUUCAAUAAAUUCAUCAGAGAAAAUAUCCAUCGUAUAACAAAACGCGAAUUGAAAGCAAAUGGAAGCGAAAAUUUUGGGUUUCAUAACAAAACAUAUUUAGUGA